GGUUUUAGCUCAGUGGUAGUGCACUUGCCUAGCAUGUGUGAGGCACUGGGUUCAAUUCUCAGCACCA
rnacentral:tRNA from 1 species